rnacentral:lncRNA from 1 species
CCUGCACAUUCAUUAUAAUCAAAGACUUACAUGUAACUAACUUAAAUCGGAGAAUGAGAAACAAUGCACUUUACAUGUAACUAACAGGAUGAUCAAAGGCUUCAUGGUCUGAAAAGGAUACACAUACACAUAUGUACACAUAUGCUGCAUACAAGUUCAACUUCUUUAUUGAAAAACUGGAACCAUGCAUGUUGAUACAAAAUCAGGUUGAUAAGCUGCAUGGGAAAGUAAAUAAAUACUGUUAAACUCUUACAACUGUGUGUAACUUUCAUGCAGUAUAAGUGUAUAAGUAGGUGAAAAACUUACAGAUGGUUAUAGUUUCUAUGCAUCAGUAAUAACAUUGUUCUAACUGCUCCUUUGUCACCUACUUGAAUGAAAAAAAAAAAACAUUUCUCAGAAAAAACUACUAAACAAGUCACUUAAUAGAAAAGCAUUGUAACACUUGAUGAAUGUUGUGAACAUCUAAACAAAUAAAUUUAUACCUCAACAUUUGGUUGUCAAACAUCUGAUGCAUACAACAUUCACAAUUUGAACUUGUAGAGUCUGUAGGGGCCAAGUCAUGUAUAAUUAAUUAGUUUCUUGUCUACAUACUAUGCAUCUGUUAGAUGGACCUCUUCUUUAUAAUCUAAUAUUCAAAAAAGAACGAUUUCAAUUAAAAAAUUAAACAAUAAAGACUGAGUUUUUUAUUAAAUGAAU